CUUUUCUCAUUGAACUAAAUGUUGACUUGAGAAUACAACACCGUAUCACUCUCGUGAUUAUUUCUCCCCUGUUUUCAGUCACACUCCAAACUCCACUAUGGCCAAGACCAAAGAGCUGUCAAAGGACACCAGAAACAAAAUUGUAGACCUGCACCAGGCUAGGAAGACUGAAUCUGCAAUAGGUAAGCAGCUUGGUAUGAAGAAAUCAACUGUGGGAGCAAUUAUUAGGAAAUGGAAGACAUACAAGACCACUGAUAAUCUCACCUCGAUCUGAGGCUCCACGCAAGAUCUCACCCCGUGGGGUCAAAAUGAUCACAAGAACGGUGAGCAAAAAUCCCAGAACCACACGGGGGGACCUAGUGACUGACCUGCAGAGAGCUGGGACCAAAGUAACAAAGCCUACCAUCAGCAAGGGCAUUGAAGAUGAAAGGUGGCUGGGUCUUUCAGCCUGACAAUGAUCCCAAACAGACCGCCGGGCAACAAAGGAGUGGCUUCGUAAGAAGCAUUUCAAGGUCCUGGAGUGGCCUAGCCAGUCUCCAGAUCUCAACCCCAUAGAAAAUCUUUGGAGGGAGUUGAAAGCCCGUGUUGUCCAGCAACAGCCCCAAAACAUCACUGCUCUAGAGGAGAUCUGCAUGGAGGAAUGGGCCAAAAUACCAGCAACAGUGUGUGAAAACCUUGUGAAGACUUACAGAAAAUGUUUGACCUCUGUCAUUGCCAACAAAGGGUAUAUAACAAAGUAUUGAGAAACUUUUAUUGACCAAAUACUUAUUUUCCACCAUAAUUUGCAAAUAAAUUCAUUAAAAAUCCUACAAUGUGA